rnacentral:rRNA from 1 species
GCAACUCGCCUGCAUGAAGUCGGAAUCGCUAGUAAUCGCGGAUCAGCACGCCGCGGUGAAUACGUUCCCGGGCCUUGUACACACCGCCCGUCACACCACGGAAGUUGGGAGUACCCAAAGUAGGUUGCCUAACCGCAAGGAGGGCGCUUCCUAAGGUAAGACCGAUGACUGGGGUGAAGUCGUAACAAGGUACC